rnacentral:ncRNA from 1 species
CCAACCGUCAUGGGAGAAUCGGCAUAGCGCCGGUGCCGAAGGAGCAACCGCCCCGGAAACUCUCAGGCCACAAGGACCGUGACGGGCAA